CGGCAGCACGGGAGCAAUCCUGGUGGCGAGUGGCGAACGGGUGUGUAAUAUAUCGGAACGUGCCCAGUAGUGGGGGAUAGCCCGGCGAAAGCCGGAUUAAUACCGCAUACGACCUGUGGGUGAAAGCGGGGGAUCGAAAGACCUCGCGCUAUUGGAGCGGCCGAUAUCAGAUUAGCUUGUUGGCGGGGUAAAAGCCCACCAAGGCGACGAUCUGUAGCUGGUCUGAGAGGACGACCAGCCACACUGGGACUGAGACACGGCCCAGACUCCUACGGGAGGCAGCAGUGGGGAAUUUUGGACAAUGGGCGCAAGCCUGAUCCAGCCAUGCCGCGUGUGGGAAGAAGGCCUUCGGGUUGUAAACCACUUUUGUCAGGGAAGAAACGGUUUGUCCUAAUACGGCGGACUAAUGACGGUACCUGAAGAAUAAGCACCGGCUAACUACGUGCCAGCAGCCGCGGUAAUACGUAGGGUGCAAGCGUUAAUCGGAAUUACUGGGCGUAAAGCGUGCGCAGGCGGCUUUGCAAGACAGAUGUGAAAUCCCCGGGCUCAACCUGGGAACUGCAUUUGUGACUGCAUGGCUAGAGUACGGU
rnacentral:rRNA from 1 species